GACACCUCUGCCCUAAUAAGAGGACUCACCCUGUAAGAGGGGCAUGUGGAAUGGGAGGUAUUAUGGCUGCCAUCUUUAGAAAUUACAAUUUGCCACAGGUUGUGUUCCCUAGAAGCAGAGGUUGAAAUAGGGGUUCUUUUGUGAGUUAAGGAAGAGGAAGAAGCUAAGCGAGGAUGUAGCUUCAGGUGAAGUCCAGCUUCAACCUGAUCUUGUAGGCAGCACUGGAUCUCACAUUGUCUGCAGCAUUUGUCCUUCCUUGAGGCAAAAAAGCGGGUCUUUUGUACACACAUAUCAGUCAACCCUUAGCUUAGGGAAGCCCCAGGGGAAGGGUUGUAACUCCUAGGUAUCUCCUAGACAGGCAACUCCUCUUGCUUAAAGGCAUUUCCCAGACAAGGCUUGCUCUGUGAGCCUUUAAUAGCAGUUAAUAAAAAGAUUGCCAGAGAUCUGAUUGGGACUGCAACAGCCUCAGCUACAUUAAGAUAUGGGGGCACAUUCAAGGCCUGUUUUAUAGAGACUAGCAGGAUCUGGGGACCCAGUCAGAAGACACUUGGGGUUUAGGGCAGGAAGUCUACUGAUUGCCACGAGCAAAAAAGGAAAUACAUUGGUUCAUGAAAUGAGAAAGUCAAUGGACAGUGCUGACCCAGAUUGGAUCCAGGGCUCAAAGAGCAUCUCCAAGAGACCAUAUAAGAAUCACUAACAUGAGCUGCAUAUGCUG
rnacentral:lncRNA from 1 species